rnacentral:lncRNA from 1 species
UUCUGUGACUGAGAGGGCAUCCCGAGACUCCAGGGAAGGGUGGAAACAACAGAUUAUUUCCAUCACAGAAAUCAGUAAAUGUAAAACCCAGCAUGCCCUUUUGCCUAGAUGAGUUGUUAAGUGUUUAGCUGCAACUCAGACAAAAACAGUAUGCAGAGAAACUCGCACUCUGCCUGCCAGUAGAAACUGACUACAGUGGAGAACAGAGCCAUGGGGGCUUCGGGCAGCACCGAAGAUGGGAAGGUCCUGGAAGGCCUUCAUAGGAGUGGAGCAGAGCUGGAAGCCAGGCUGCCAGGCCAGAAGCCAACUGCUGCAGUCCUGCUUGGAUAAGGAAGCUGGCGUUUGGGCUAGAGUGGCUGUGGAGGUGACUGUGAGAAAGUGGGUUUGAGCUGCACUGUCCUCAAUCUUCAUGCGGGUUCCGGGGCCUCUGUAGACAUCAAAGUCCUCAGAUGCCCAAGUCAUUAAAGGAUUCUGGCUCUUC